UACGUAGGCAGCAAGCGUUGUUCGGAGUUACUGGGCGUAAAGGGUGCGUAGGCGGCUUUUUUAAGUUUGGGUGUGAAAUCUCCCGGCUCAACUGGGAGGUGCGCCGAAUACUGAGAGGCUAGAGUGCGGGAGAAGAAAGUGGAAUUCCUGGUGUGAGCGGUGAAAUGACGUAGAUAUCAGGAGGAACACCGGUGGUGUAAACGGCUUUCUGGACCGUAACUGACGCUGAUGCACGAAAGCGUGGGUAGCAAACAGGG
rnacentral:rRNA from 1 species